AGUGAACGCUGGCGGUAGGCCUAACACAUGCAAGUCGAACGGCAGCACAGUAAGAGCUUGCUCUUACGGGUGGCGAGUGGCGGACGGGUGAGGAAUACAUCGGAAUCUACUUUUUCGUAGGGGAUAACGUAGGGAAACUUACGCUAAUACCGCAUACGACCUACGGGUGAAAGCAGGGGAUCUUCGGACCUUGCGCGAUUGAAUGAGCCGAUGUCGGAUUAGCUAGUUGGCGGGGUAAAGGCCCACCAAGGCGACGAUCCGUAGCUGGUCUGAGAGGAUGAGCAGCCACACUGGAACUGAGACACGGUCCAGACUCCUACGGGAGGCAACAGUGGGGAAUAUUGGACAAUGGGGGCAAGCCUGAUCCAGCCAUACCGCGUGGGUGAAGAAGGCCUUCGGGUUGUAAAGCCCUUUUGUUGGGAAAGAAAAGCAGCAGGUUAAUACCCCGCUGUUCUGACGGUACCCAAAGAAUAAGCACCGGCUAACUUCGUG
rnacentral:rRNA from 1 species